rnacentral:tRNA from 2 species
GCCCUGGUAGUUCAAUGGACAGAACAAGGCACUCCUAAGGCUUAGAUGUGGGUUCGAUUCCCGCCCGGGGCAUCA